rnacentral:rRNA from 1 species
UACGAAGGGGGCUAGCGUUGUUCGGAUUUACUGGGCGUAAAGCGCGCGUAGGUGGAUAGUUAAGUGAGGGGUGAAAUCCCGAGGCUCAACCUCGGAACUGCCCUUCAUACUGGCUAUCUCGAGUUCGGGAGAGGUGAGUGGAAUUCCUAGUGUAGCAGUGAAAUGCGUAGAUAUUAGGAAGAACACCAGUGGCGAAGGCGGCUCACUGGCCCGAUACUGACACUGAGGUGCGAAAGCGUGGGGAGCAAACAGG